rnacentral:rRNA from 1 species
AGUGAACGCUGGCGGUAGGCCUAACACAUGCAAGUCGAACGGCAGCACAGUAAGAGCUUGCUCUUACGGGUGGCGCGUGGCGGACGGGUGAGGAAUACAUCGGAAUCUACUUUUUCGUGGGGGAUAACGUAGGGAAACUUACGCUAAUACAGCAUACGACCUACGGGUGAAAGCAUUGGAUCUUCGGACCUUGCGCGAUUGAAUGAGCCGAUGUCGGAUUAGCUAGUUGGCGGGGUAAAGGCCCACCAAGGCGACGAUCGGUAGCUAGUCUGAGAAGAUGGUCCGCCACACUGGAGCUGAGACACGGUCCAGAGUCCUACGGGAGGCAGCGGUGGGGAAUAUUGGACAAUGGGCGCAAGCCUGAUCCAGCCAUACCGCGUGGAUGAAGAAGGCCUGCGGGUUGUAAAGCCCUUUUGUUGGGAAAGAAAAGCAGCAGGUUAAUACCCCGCUGUUCUGACGGUACCCAAAGAAUAAGCACCGGCUAACUUCGG